rnacentral:rRNA from 1 species
AACAGGAUUAGAUACCCUGGUAGUCCACGCCGUAAACGAUGUCGACUUGGAGGUUGUGCCCUUGAGGCGUGGCUUCCGGAGCUAACGCGUUAAGUCGACCGCCUGGGGAGUACGGCCGCAAGGUUAAAACUCAAAUGAAUUGACGGGGGCCCGCACAAGCGGUGGAGCAUGUGGUUUAAUUCGAUGCAACGCGAAGAACCUUACCUACUCUUGACAUCCAGAGAACUUAGCAGAGAUGCUUUGGUGCCUUCGGGAACUCUGAGACAGGUGCUGCAUGGCUGUCGUCAGCUCGUGUUGUGAAAUGUUGGGUUAAGUCCCGCAACGAGCGCAACCCUUAUCCUUUGUUGCCAGCGGUUCGGCCGGGAACUCAAAGGAGACUGCCAGUGAUAAACUGGAGGAAGGUGGGGACGACGUCAAGUCAUCAUGGCCCUUACGAGUAGGGCUACACACGUGCUACAAUGGCAUAUACAAAGAGAAGCGACCUCGCGAGAGCAAGCGGACCUCAUAAAGUAUGUCGUAGUCCGGAUUGGAGUCUGCAACUCGACUCCAUGAAGUCGGAAUCGCUAGUAAUCGUGGAUCUGAAUGCCACGGUGAAUACGUUCCCGGGCCUUGUACACACCGCCCGUCACACCAUGGGAGUGGGUUGCAAAAGAAGUAGGUAGCUUAACCUUCGGGAGGGCGCUUACCACUUUGUGAUUCAUGACUGGGGUGAAGUCGUAACAAGGUAACC